ensembl:lncRNA
CCACCACCACCACCGUUUGACAUCUACCCUGCCUCCAUUUAGUAUGAAUAUAUAUACUUAUAAACAUGCAUCUAUUUUUCUUUUAUGAAAUAGUGGUCUAUUUUUACAAGUACUGUCUAAAUUUGAGGAAAUAAUUGAUGAUCUGACGAUCCCAAAUGAAGUGAGCUUACGGACGAAUCUCACACUGGUCCUGCAGUUCAUCUGGAUGUGUUUUGUUCUCUGCUCCUGUGCUGAGCGCCGGGGGCGCGGACGAGGAAAGACACGAGGCACAUGACUGUCCAGCCCGGGGGAACCUUCCAGUAACCGCCGCCCUGCUCCACUCAUCACCUCGAGGAAGAGGGGCGACAGAAGCAUCCCUCACGUGGGCAACACAACCCACACAUUUGGGUGGAGGAAUCCUUCCAUGUGCGUGCAAGCCCAAAGAAACGGCCGGUUCUUCCCAGAGGAUUUUUAACAUGACCUGCCUGGUGGGAAGUGUUCCACAGACGAUCUCAGCAAAAUUGUCUUAAUGAAACAUGAAUCAUGACCUUUCAUGAAGUGGCACAUCAUUGGUGGGUGAGGCUGUGCAGUGUGUGUGUGUGUGUGUGUGUGUGUGUGUGUGUGUGUGUGUGUGUGUGUGUGUGUGUCCCUCUCCCCUCUGUCCUUACGCGUUCACGUGUAUUUGAUCAGAAGGAGAGUGAGCCGCAUAAAGGCCGUGGUGUAAGAUCCUGAGAUUUCUCUCUGUAGCGUCGGUCACUUGCAGUGGCCAUCGUAGAGGGGAAGGUUUCACUUCUGCCACUAGAGGGGGUGAGAGAUCUGAUAGGAAGUGACGGGUUCUAUACAAACACACCGAGAAGCGUCUGAUGGAAAGAGGACAAAUCCUUCUCAGCAAUUUCAAACGCAGCAGGGUCUGACUAAAAACAGAGAGAGGAGAAAGAUGUUUUAAGUAUAUAUAAAUGUGAUAUAUAGAGAGAGAUUUUUCUAAAGAGAUUUUGAACAAUACAAAUAUUUUUGAUAUUUCACAAGAUGAUUUUAAAAGGUAGCUUACUACUACUUUGCAGUACUGUAAUCACAGCAGGGCAUAUAUGGAUUAUUUAUUUAUGUAUCAUUAAAAAGUACAGAUCAAGAACAAAAUAUUUAUAUGUUUCUUACGUAAGAAAAACAGGAAAAUGGGUAUAAACUAAAUGUGAAAUAAAAGAAGAAAAAUGAUGAUGCCAAAUACAUGUUUUGUGCGCAGACAAGGCAUGACCCACAGACAGAAGACAUGAUGGACUCCUCUUCAUCAUUCAUCGCUGUGGUCUCCUAUGCAUUUAACUAGAGAUGGACAGACGCUCUCUGGAAACACUCCGACUGUUUUCGCCUCUAUCCUGUUUGUCCCUUCCCUUGUAUCUGAUCUCCCUUUGUCUUAUAUGUGUGACGGUCUCCCUGUGUCUUAUACUGUAUGUGUGACGGUCUCC